rnacentral:rRNA from 1 species
GACGAACGCUGGCGGCGUGCUUAACACAUGCAAGUCGAACGGAAAGGCCCGGCGUUUGUGGGGUGCUCGUUUGGCGAACGGGUGAGUAACACGUGAGUAACCUGCCCUUGACUUUGGGAUAACAUCAGGAAAAUGGGGCUAUUACCGGGUAGAAUCUCUUGCAGCAUGGUGGUGGUUGGAAAGUUUCGGCGUUGGGGGAUCGACUCGCGGCUUAUCAGCUUGUUUGUGGGGUAGUGACUUACCAAGGCUUCGACGGGUAGCCCGCCUGGGAGGGUUACCGGCCUCCUUACGCCUACGAUACGGCGCAGUAGCCUACCUGACGCAGCAGUGGGAAGUAUUGCGCAACGGGGGGGCGUCUGAUGCAGCGGCGCCGCGUGCGGGAUGCCGUCCUUCGAGUUAUAAACAGCUUUGGCCUGUGACGAAGCGAGCGUGACGGUAAUGGGUAAAGAAGCACCGGCUAACUACGUG